CCAACGGGUGGCAGCGGUGAGGAAUAUUGCGCAAUGGGGGCAACCCUGACGCAGCGACGCCGCGUGAGUGAGGAAGGCCUUCGGGUCGUAAAGCUCUGUCAAAGGGAAAGAAGUGCAUGGUGGUUAAUACCUGCCAUGUUUGACGGUACCCUUAAAGGAAGCACCGGCUAACUCCGUGCCAGCAGCCGCGGUAAUACGGAGGGGGCAAGCGUUGUUCGGAAUUACUGGGCGUAAAGGGCGGGUAGGCGGUUUGAUAAGUCAGAUGUGAAAGCCCACGGCUUAACCGUGGAAGUGCAUUUGAAACUGUCAGACUGGAGUACCAGAGGGGAAAGUGGAAUGCCCGGUGUAGAGGUGAAAUUCGUAGAUAUCGGGAGGAAUACCGGUGGCGAAGGCGACUUUCUGGCUGGAUACUGACGCUGAGGCGCGAAAGCGUGGGGAGCAAACA
rnacentral:rRNA from 1 species